UUUCUUGUACUGUUUGUCAUGCC
rnacentral:misc_RNA from 1 species